UCCGGUUUGUCACCGGCAGUCUCCCUAGAGUUCCCGGCCGAACCGCUGGCAACUAGGGACAAGGGUUGCGCUCGUUGCGGGACUUAACCCAACAUCCCACGACACGAGCUGACGACAGCCAUGCAGCAUCUGUGAGGCACCCUCGAAGGUCACACGUUUCCGUGCUCUUGCAGCCCCAUGUCAAGUCCAGGUAAGGUUCUUCGCGUUGCAUCGAAUUAAAGAACAUGCUCCGCUGCUUGUGCGGGCCCCCGUCAAUUCUUUUGAGUUUUAGCCUUGCGGCCGUACUCCCCAGGCGGAAUGCUUAAAGCGUUAGCUGCGCCACUGAGCAGCAAGCUG
rnacentral:misc_RNA from 1 species